AAACCUCUCGCUGGGGCUAGGAGUUCGGCGGGGCGCGCGCCGGCGGCUGCGGAGCUGGCAGGUCUUAUUGAAUUUUCUGUGGGGAAAUUUAGAUACUUCGAGCUCAAUAGGCCCUUUCCAGAGGAAGCUAUUUUGCAUGAUAUUUCAAGCAAUGUGACUUUUCUUAUUUUCCAAAUACACUCACAGUAUCAGAAUACAACUGUUUCCUUUUCUCCGAUUUGGAAUAGGACAUGCACACUGGAUCAGCUCAGUAAUUUAUGUUUUGGUCGACUUCCUAUUCAUGACAAUGUUUCUUCUGGACUGCAGACUCUCCUUUCCAAUUCCUCGGAAACAGGCACUGCCAGUGGACUGGUUUUCAUCCUUAGACCAGAGCAGAGUACAUGCACUUGGUACUUGGGGACUUCAGGCAUACAGCCUGUCCAGAAUAUGGCUAUCCUACUCUCCUACUCAGAAAGAGAUCCUGUCCCUGGAGGCUGUAAUUUGGAGUUCGAUUUAGAUAUUGAUCCCAACAUUUACUUGGAGUAUAAUUUCUUUGAA
rnacentral:lncRNA from 1 species